AGUGACAUGUAUCUCAGCCCUGU
rnacentral:piRNA from 1 species